ensembl:lncRNA
UAAAUUAAGCAUAAUAAAUAUUCUCAAAGGAAUAAAGGAAGGCAAGGAUUAAAUGAAACAGAAAUAAGAAUUCACAAAAAGAACCAAAUGAAAUAUUAACUAUGAUAAAUAUAACAAAGUAAAGAAUGUAAAUAAAUGGAAUAAAUUGUAGAGUGGAUAUUUUUGAUGAAUGAAUUAGUGAGCUGUAAGAUAUGAUUGAGGUGCUCUUCCAGAAGGCAGCAAAAAAAUGAUAACAACAUAAAAAAUAUGAAAGAAGAGGUAAGCAGCAUAGAGAUGAGAACUGGAAACACUAACUUCCAGGUAAUGAGUCCCAGAAAGAUACUCAAAAAAUAAGAAAAAAAAUAUAGACAGAAAUAAAGAAGAAGAUAAAAAUUUCUAUAUUUACAAAACAAGAUGAAAAAGAUAAAACAAGUUUAACUUAUAGGUGAACAGAAUGCCAAAUAGAACAGAUAUUUUAAAAAGCCAAGGGGUUGGCCCCAUGGUGUAGUGGUUAAUCUCGGCACACUCCACCUCCGGGGCCUGGGUUCAUGGGUUCAGAUCCCAGGCACAGACCUACACCACUCAUCAGCCAUGCUGUGGUGGCGACCCACAUGUAAAGUGGAGGGAGACUGGAACAGAUGUUAGCUCAGGGAUAAUCUUCCUCAGCAAAAAAACUCGAAAGACCCAUACUGAUACAUAUUAAAAUAAAUUUCAGAUCAUCAAAAACAAAGAGAAAAUUAGAUUAAUAGAGUUUUUUUUAAAGAUUCCAAAAAGGAGUUGCAGAUAACCUACAAAAGAAAAAAAAUCAUAACAUUAUACUUCUCAAGAGCAAACACUGAAUACAAGAAGGUAGUGGUUCAUUAUUUUCUUAUCAUUUGAAGAAAAAACUUCAACCAAAUUUUGUCCAGCCAAAAUAUCACUUAAAGGUUAGGGUGCAACUGUUAGCUUCUGGCCAUGACAGGGUAACAGGAACCAGAUUUAUCUUUCCAACUCAAACAACUAGAAAACUGGAGAAAAUACAUGAAACACAAGUUUUCAGACACUGGACAAUAAUAAAAUAGAUAUACCUCCAGCAGGACUAACCAGAGAGAGAGAGAGAGAAAUUGUUAAUAUCAGGAAUGAUGAGGAUACAUCACUACAAAUCCUACAGAUAUUAAGAGGAUAAUAAGCAAAUACUGAGAACAAAUCUAUGCCAACAAAUAUGACAUCUUAGAUGAAAUAGUCAAAUAUCUUGAAAGACACAAACAACCAAAGCUCAUUGUCUCUAAAAUAGUCUUUAUAAUGUCUUUGUUUUUGAACAAUAUUUUCAUUGGGUUUAGAAAUCUAAGUGACAAUUUUUUUCUUUCCUUACUGUUACAUGUUGAAUUGUGUCACCCCAAAAAGAUAUGUUGAAGUCCUAACGCUCAGUGCUCAUGAAUGUUACCUUAUUUGAAAAUAGGAUCUUUGCAAAUGCAAUCAAGCCAUUGCAGUGGGUCCUAAUCCAUCAUGACUGAUGUCCUCAUAAGAAGUGAAUAUGCCACCUAAAGACACAGACGCAUGAGGGGAAAAUGCAAUGUGAUGAUGGAGGCAGAAACUGAAGUGCUGCAGCUUCCAGCCAAAGAUUGCCAGCAAAGCACCAGAAGCCAGGCAGAGGCAAGGAAGGAUCCUCCCCUGCAGGUCUCAGAGGAAUCAUGGCCCUGCCAACAGCUUCUCUUCAGACGUUUAGCCUACAGAACCGCAAGCCCAUAGAUUUCUGUUGUUUUAAACUUCCCAGCUUGUGGUAUUUUCUUACAUCAGCCCUAGGAAACUAAUUCAAAUACAUUAAGUUGUUGCUACACUGUUCUCAUUUGCAUUCUUUACAAAGCGAAAUCUGCUAUCAUUCUCAUUUU